CCAUGCCGCGUGGGUGAUGAAGGCCCUAGGGUUGUAAAGCCCUUUCGGCGGGGAAGAUAAUGACGGUACCCGCAGAAGAAAGCCCCGGCUAACUUCGUGC
rnacentral:rRNA from 1 species